rnacentral:RNase_P_RNA from 1 species
GCGGUUUUGCGGAUGAUCGCCGCCAACGCUCUUCCUCGGAAGGGCCGCGGGGGAGGAAAGUCCGGACUCCAUAGGGUAGCGCAAAGGGUAACGCCCUUCUGCAGUAAUGCAAGGAACAGUGGAACAGAGAGAAUGUCCAGGGCUAUGAGCCGAUUUCCGGGAACGGGAGGGAUCGGGGAGCCGCUGGAGUGAAAACAGCAAAACUCUGCGCGGAGCAAGAUCAAAUAGGGGAGCAUUAGUACCACGACCCGUGGGUGGCUUCCGGGUAAGAUCGCUUGAGGGUGUCGGUGACGGCACUCCUAGAGGAAUGAUCAUCCAACUUCAUCGGGAAACUUUUGGGACCAGGUGAGAUGGACAGAAUCCGGCUUAUAGCAAAACCGCACUC